UACAGGGGGGGCAAGCGUUGUUCGGAAUUACUGGGCGUAAAGCGCGCGUAGGCGGCUUUGUAAGUUAGAGGUGAAAGCCCGGAGCUCAACUCCGGAACUGCCUUUAAAAACUGCAUCGCUUGAAUCCAGGAGAGGUGAGUGGAAUUCCGAGUGUAGAGGUGAAAUUCGUAGAUAUUCGGAAGAACACCAGUGGCGAAGGCGGCUCACUGGACUGGUAUUGGCGCUGAGGUGCGAAAGCGUGGGGAGCAAACAGG
rnacentral:rRNA from 1 species